GAGAGCUAGAGCUUUUCUUUUUGGAGCAAAGGAGGAUAGGAGGAUAAAGAACACAACAAUGAUUGAUCCUAGACGAUGAACAGCUUGAAGUCCAUCAACUCUCCCUCACCCAAGCUGUCUACCAAACUCUUGGAUCUCACCUAUCUUAAAAUACCGCAUGGCAACCAGUCUUGGGAUAUAGGAUGAAGAGUCACCAGUCAAGAAGGUCUAGGAUAUCAGAUAUCUUACCGCCGCUGCUUCCUUCAUCGGCUGCCCCAUUUCGACCAAUUUGGGGGGCUUGCUCCUUGCUACACUGCGCCGCAGAUCUUUCCUCCGGGCUUGGUAGAAAAGAUGAACAC